CCAUCUCCUUCAUGUGUGUCUCACUUUGUAUUGAAUGAUGUUAAGCAGAGCUGGAGCUGGCGCCUCGGCCUCAUUACCUUCAAUUACAGUAAUUGUUGCCUCUCUCCAGUGUUUUGCAUUUCUCCCUGGGGGAAAUCUCUCUGCUGCUUCUUUUCCAGUCUUGCUCCAGCUUUCUCCUAUCGAUUGGAUCGCUCUGGCCCCGAUUCUAGGAGCGAUGCCUCCAGGAGGAUAAAUGCAAAUCGCCCUAUUGAUUGGGAGGAGUAGAAGUGCAGCUCGUUUGGGGGAGGGAGGAUUCGUUUUAAAUGAAGAAAAAAAGUAAAGUGAUGAGCAUGACAGGAAAUGCUUCACUUUCUGGGCCUCUUAAGUAGUGUCUCUUUAUCAUGUCCUGUGUCUGAGGGGGAUGUAGAUUGGUGCCAUCUGGAUAAUGUAUUACAUUCAUGGAGAGGUGGAUCCCGCGACACAGACACUAGUCUGGUUUCCUACUCAUUUUAGGUGAACAUGUAUCACUGAUCAUUUCUGGAACGCAGCUCCCCUCCUCCACUUUGAAGGUGACUGGGUUUCACUGGGGACACGCUAAUUGCUGCUGAAAAUGAGCAGGGAGUAAUGUGGAGGCCUCUAUCCACCUCCUUGAACUGCCCAGUGACAGGGGUAAGGCUCCUUGGGAGUUAUUAACCUUGAGGGAACCAGCUCAGCAGCCUGUCUGUCACAGGGGAGCGGCUGGAGGAGCCAGCCUGUGGGCUCUGCAUAGCCUUGGAUCCUGAAAUGGCUACUUGCUUCAGUAAAUCCAUGGCCAGAUUCAGAAGUGGAAAGCCAAAAGAAUUGCACAGUCACGGAAAGGCCUAAACCCCUCAUGGUGGCCAUCCUCUCAUGCCAAUGCUGGGACUCUCAGGCACAUGGAGAUUCUGGAGAAGGUGAUGGAUGUGAUUUGGGACUUCACUGGAGGGACUCUGACAUUUGGAAGCAGACUCUUGCACAGCUGCACUGCUCACAUGCUCCUGAGCCUCUUCUGGAAUGUGACUGUAGAGAAGAGCAGGUGUUGUCCUGAGCUUUGCUGGCCUGUCAGGAGAAAUCCUGUUCUGGAAUAGUUCAGGACACUAGGUGCUCACCUGAAUUGGUCUUUUAGAAGGAUUCGUCAGUCCUUCCAGAAACUUGGCACUGCAACUGUUGGCUUCUGAAACGAAGUAAAAGAAUCAAACCAGCAUUUGUGUGGCCUGCAAAGACUCGUUGGAUGGAUCUCUUGUUUUAGUUGGCAAUUUCUUCUUAAAGAGAAGAUUUCACAUCUGUGACAGAGCUUUGAGCUGAUGCAGAGAAUGUGCUCCUGUGAGAUGCUGCCCAAAGCAGUCCCUUUCUGUGAGAUGCCCAGAGGCUGAUUUUGCAACCAGGUCCUUCUGUUCAUGUUGGCUUCAAAGGCCUUCACGUAUCUGGUGGGAGGGAACAGCCCUGUGCUCUGCAGGCUCUGACUACAGGCUCUGUAGUCCAUUCAAGUGGAGGCUUUAGGCUGCUCUCCCAUGGCUGCUGGAGACAUGUAAUGCGGCCUCAGGCUCCUGACGCUUUCCUUGAUGGUUCGUUAUAGUCAUUAUCCCACAUUCCUUCUGGUUGCAGAACAUGUUGUUAUUAUUGCUUUGUGCUGGGUCUGUCUCCUGUCCCUUUUUUACAGGCCAAUCCGGCCCUAUUAGCUCUUGUCUCUAAAACAAAAGCAAAUUAGCACUGCAGAAGCUGAAUUAUCUUGUUUAUGUUAUAGUAUGUCAGGGGACCCCACACAAUCCUUGCAUGUCUCUCUGAGCAGUGUGCCAGAGAGUGAAGAGACACAGUAAGUCGGUCAAACCCUCCUGGCACUCUGACCCAAUCCACAGGUUUCCAAAAGGGUCUUUAGUUGCUUUGGGGAAGCUAAGGCUGGUCAGUGAUCCCUGCUGUCCCUCCCUCAGUUUUGGUAUUUUAUGCACGCUUGUGCAUACAGAACUAGAAAUUUUUUUACAGUAAAUUGUACCUCUCAACUCAAACUUGACAGCUGUCAAUGAAAUUUGCUGUUCAAAACUGAUCUCAAGCACAUUGCCCUCUGGUUAGUCUGUCUGUGCUCCCUUGGCCAGGAUGUUUAUAAUACUCAGGGAGUCUCUCAUGUUACUUAGUGCAGUAAUGUGGCUCCAUGAAUAAAAGCCAUUUCCAGUCUGUCGGUACUGCAUGUAACAAAUGAGAUCUGUUAAAUGCGCUUGUCACCAUUGAUAGGAACAGGAGAAGCAGAAUUGCACAUGUUGCUGUAAUGAUUCUAAGUUAUAAUGAAUGAUAUUUUGUAUGUUUGCAAAUGAGUGUCUGAUAGCUGGUGCCAGACUGGGAGAUAUGGCUUGGCUGUUCCUGCUGUUUUUGUAAUUUCUAAAUUCAAAGAAGAAUUAGAAAAUUA